AACGAACGCUGGCGGCGUGCCUAAUACAUGCAAGUCGAGCGAAGUGGGCACGGGUGAGUAACAUGUGGGUAACCCCCCAUCAGAGGGGAUCACACUUGGAAACAGGUGCUAAACCGAUACACAUGGUCGGACCCGCGGUGCAUUAGCUAGUGGGCGCUGUAACGGCUCACCAAGGCGACGAUGCAUAGCCGACCUGAGAGGAUGAUCGGCCACACUGGUGCUGAGACACGGCCGAAACUCCGACGUGAGGCACCAGUAGGGAACCUUCGGCAAGGGACGAAAGGGUGACAGAGCAAAGGCGCGAGAGUUAAGAGGGUUUACGGAGCGUAGAACACUGUUGUUAGAGAAGCGGUAUCUAACGAGAAAGCCACGGCUAACUACGUGCCAGCAGCCGCGGUAAUAC
rnacentral:rRNA from 1 species